CGGGCAGAAGAGAGGGAGCGUGUUGUCUGUUCUCCUUUCAAAAAGGUGAAUGUCUUGCCAUCACAGACUUUUUGACCGAUGAGGAAAUCCUGUAGAUGCCGGCAGAACUUGUCACAGGCGCGCCUCGAACGGAGCCGCGUUAUGAAGGACAAAUGAAAAGAAAGGGAUCGUAACGAUAAGAGAUAAUGAGAUAGGUAAAGAGAAGAAGAAAGAGGAAGAAGGAGAAGAAACAGGAGAAAACAAACAAACGAGCAUCUGAGAAAAGCGGAGCGAGGCGACAAGAAUGUUUUGGAUUCUCAAGAGACCGAAGUUUACCGCCAACUUCUUCAGCAAUGUCAUCAACAACAACGUUUUUUAUAAAGCAUUCCAAGAGGUUAGGUGGAAUGUCCCUGGAG